rnacentral:tRNA from 1 species
GCGGGUAUCGUAUAACGAUAUUAUGUCUCCCUUCCAAGGAGAAGACACGGGUUUGACUCCCGUUACCCGCUCCA